rnacentral:rRNA from 1 species
UGGGGAAUUUUGGACAAUGGGCGCAAGCCUGAUCCAGCCAUUCCGCGUGAGUGAAGAAGGCCUUCGGGUUGUAAAGCUCUUUCGCAAGGGAAGAAAACUUACACAAUAACACUGUGUGAGGCUGACGGUACCUUGAUAAGAAGCACCGGCUAACUACGUGCCAGCAGCCGCGGUAAUACGUAGGGUGCGAGCGUUAAUCGGAAUUACUGGGCGUAAAGCGUGCGCAGGCGGUUUUGUAAGUCAGAUGUGAAAUCCCCGAGCUCAACUUGGGAACUGCGUUUGAAACUACAAGACUAGAAUAUGUCAGAGGGGGGUAGAAUUCCACGUGUAGCAGUGAAAUGCGUAGAGAUGUGGAGGAAUACCAAUGGCGAAGGCAGCCCCCUGGGAUAAUAUUGACGCUCAUGCACGAAAGCGUGGGGAGCAAACAGGAUUAGAUACCCUGGUA